UUUAUUUAUUCGUAAUUGAUUUAUUUGAUACAAUUUAUAUUAGUUUAUCAUAGUUUUAAAUUUUCAAUGUCUAUCUAUUGUCUAGUCUCUUUCAAGUCUGUUUAGUCGGCUGCACAAAUGAAUAUAGUAAUUAUUAAGAUAUAGGUAAUCUUAAUUCGUUGUUGGUAGGUAUAAAAAUAUAAGUUGUUAUUAUUGUUUAUAUAUUAAUAUUUUAGUAGCAUGGGUUAGGAUAUCUUAUUAUCUCAAUAUGGAUAACAUAUUAUUAAGCUUGCCAACUUCUUAAUAAAUAAUAACUAAUGGUUUAUGUAGGUACCUACGUACCUUCCAUGCAAAUUUGGGCAAUAACUAGUUACAAAAAAGUUACAGUUACAAAAAUCAGUAACUUCAUAACUUGUAAGUUACUUUAAUUUUCUUGUAAUUUUUUGUGCGUAUAUAAGAGUAACUUAAUGAGUUACUUUUUGUUUAAAUCAAAAAAGUUACAGGUUAGUUUUUAUCAUUUAAUCACCGAUAUCUUGCAACUUAGAAUUUUCAAAUUGCCAUCAAAUUUAAUACAGCAAUCCCGUCUAGCACCCAUAUUGAAUGAUUGUUGAAUGUUUAUUGUUUGAUGACCGAAAAGGAUCUAUGGCUGAUAAGAACUUAAGGUGAACGACUGAAUGCAUGGUAGGGAAUCGUUAUAGGUAUGCCUUAAUUUAAAGAUUGUGAGCUGGUAAUAAUGUGUAACUUACGGAAGCGAUUGAAACGUACAAUAGUGGAUCUGGGUAAUUUAAGGUAAUCAAACCAAGUAUUAUAAUGGGUAUUUGGGACACUAUUUUUAAAAUUGACAACGAACUCUGAUGGAAGAUUAAUCCAAUAAGAGAUCCAAAGGUUUAAUACAAAUUCGUAAUUUGCGAUUAUAAAUGUGUAAAAUCGAAUAACAAUUUUGGUGCAAUUUGUUUAAUGAAAUUCCAAAUUGGGGGUGCUAAUAUAACGGAUAAUUUACAAAAAUAAUUUUUUUAUUAUUUUUAAUUUUGUUUUUUUGUUGUAAUAGAUAUAAUUAUUAGACUACACAGAAAUGCUUCAAAAUUUGAUGAAAUUAGAGGAUGAUUUUUGAUAGAAACAUUGCUCACAGACACAAAUGAAAAACACACAGUAAAACCAAUAGACCAGCUACGUUCAGAAACUAAAAUUUAAUUCGUGGUUCAUUAUAAGUCGUUCUUAGCGAUUAAAAAGUUUUAAAAUCAAAUUUUGACGAAAAUUGUAAACAGUAUCAUAUCAUAAAACGUAGGUAUAUAUCAAAACAUGUACAACCGAACUUCAUUAGCUUUUCGUUAGCAAUAGUUUUUCGUUGCUUACUGCUAUAAAUUGAAUAAGUAACUUAAUGUAUCCUACCUUCCCGACUUCUCACAACAGUGGGAAUAUCUUUUCCCGG